GGCGAGCAGCAGGUUUGCAAAAAAAAAAAACCGGAAUUUCCCCCCAAAGCAGCAGAUUUGCGAAAAAUCCCAGCAACUUCCCGAAAAAGCGGCUGAUUUGGAAGAAAAGCAGCAAGUUUCUGAAAAAGCAGCAGGUUUGCAAAGGAAACCCAGCAAGUUUCUGAAGAAGCAGUGGAAUCGCCAAAAAAACCCCCAAAACAACAACCAAAAAAACCUCAAGUUUCUGAAAAAGCAGCGAGUUUCCAAAGAAAAAUAAAGCCAAUUUCCAAUCCGCUGUGGGCGAGCGAGCGUUAUCCGAAGAGUUUCGCUGCCAGACGCUGAUAAACGUCCCUCGGCUGAGCUGAGCAGCGGACACCAUGGAUGCACGGCGCUGGAGGGGUCUCCCGCCCAGGAAUCUUUCCGACUGUCCCAACGGCUCCCGCUGGGUGAUGGACGUGUUCAACGAAUGUGCCCAGGACGGCCAGGACAUCGCCAGCGUCGUCCUGGGUCUGGUUUCCAUCUUCUGCUUCGCGGCUGCCUCUUUUCCGCAGUUUUACCAAGCCUGCAAAACAGGCAUCAUGGACCGGGCUCUAUCCAUAUAUUUCCUGCUGGGAUGGCUGGGCGGAGACCUCCUAAACCUCAUCGGUUCCUUCCUGGCCGAUCAGUUGCCCCUGCAGGUUUACACAGCUGUUUACUAUGUGCUCGCAGACCUGGUGAUGCUGUCUCUCUACUGCUACUACAAAGUGAAGAACCGGGGUGGAGGAUUCGCUACCCCAGUCAAUGCAGCCUUUGUCUUCCUUUCCCUGGGGACGGUGUCGACCGUCUCCUUCCUGGGCAGAGGUGCUGUCGUGGCACAGGACCCGGCGACGUUUAAAGGGAGGUCCCUGCUGUCCGCUCAUGUGGAUGAGCUUGGGUCGAAGCCUUUCACCAGGAGUGAGAUCAUUGGCUUUACCAUUGGCUCCAUCUCCUCCGUGCUGUACCUGUGCUCCCGAGUCCCCCAGAUCUACACUAACUACAAGAGGAAAUCCACCACCGGCGUCUCCUACUCCCUCUUUGCGCUGGUGAUGCUGGGGAACUUGCUCUAUGGCCUCAGCGUCCUCCUGAAGAACCCCGAGCCGGGGCAAGGUGAAGGCGACUACGUCCUGCGCCACCUCCCCUGGCUGGUGGGCAGCCUGGGCGUACUUUCCCUCGACGUGGUCAUCUCCUUCCAGUUCCUUGCUUAUCGGAGAGGAACACCCGCUGCCUGUGGAGAGAGGGAUGCUCUUCUCAGCGAGCGGGGUGACAGCCUGGAGAGCUGACAAAGGGACCGGCCCUGGAGUGAGAAUAGGAUGAUGCAGACGAGAAAGCUGGCCUUAACGCCUGGCAAACGGGCGCCUCCAUCCUGGUGGCUCUUGGGAGAAGAGGACCUGAGCCAGUGGGUGACAUGUUGUGCUGCUAAGACGCUGAGCCCAGCCAGGUGGCAGAGGGUGCUGCUGAGAGACCUGGUGGCUCCUUGAUACCAAUGAUGCUAUCGGGAUAAACAGGGAGUUAUUUGAUACCUCAAAAGCCUCCACCAGGUCGUUUUUAAGAGCUUCUUGUUUUGAUUUGUCUGCAAAAGUCUGCACAGACCUGCGGGGAAGAAGGAAAUGCAAGUCAGAGGCGAUGCAUUUGAGAGAAGGCGUUUUUUAACAGUUCUCCUGGCAUGUGAGUCAAUAGGAAGGAGAAGCACCUGAAACCAGGCUUAGAGGGAACAAAACUCAGCUUGCCUGUUUUAAUACAGAAAGCAGAAGGCAAAGUGAACACUUCAGUGAGUAUAUCAAAGCAAAAUUCACUCUAGCAAGGAUGGCACCAAGAGACACGCUUCCCCAGAAGUUCCACUCAGCCUCCAGUUGCUGGAGGGUGAUUCCCAAUUUUUUACAUUACAGAUUGGAAAAACCCCAGUGUACCACCAGCAAAGGGUGUUAGCGCUCUCGCUCUCCCAAUGACCGUGACGGGAAGGCAGAGAAAAUCCAGCCUCCACCCACGAACAUGAAAAGGGCCAGGCUGGGGGAGCUCCUGAACCUUUUUGCAGACUGUUCACCCAGGGUCGAGCAGCCACAUCAAGACUUCCCUCCAGUGUAUUCACCAGUGGGAAAGGCAGCCAGAGUUUCUGUUCUUGAAUUUGGUUUUCCAGUUUGUACCUUACCUAGAGCAGUUAGUGAAUCAAAGCAGCUGAAGAACAGAGAUACUGUCAGCAAGAUUAUUGCAGGGGUUCCCUUUAUGCUAAAAGUUUGGUUAUAGAAGAAAAGCUACAUUUUUUAGGAGUCAUCUUCGCUCACCGCCCUGUAAGAUCAUUGUGGAGGAACCUCCAUUUUCAAUGGUACAAUAAGAAACUUCCACUUUUAAAAAAGCCCUCUUAAAUGUGACCAUUGAUAGAAUACUAAUACUAAUAAUCUUCAGGAGUUGCUACCACAGAGAAGUGGUUAGGAUCCAGUUUGGUAGGAUUUCUCCCCACAUAAACCGUAUUUCAUACCCUUUUCAGUACUCAAAGCUACCUUAUUUUGCCUGGAUGCUGUCUCCUGUAAACAAGGCCGCUCUUUGUGUCAGUUAUUUUCCUAACAUUUUUAUAACAGUAUUUCCAUUCUCUUGUCUCUGGAGACUUCCGCUGCUUUAAUAAAAAUAUAUACAUUUUAUAUUUUCAUUUGUCACAGGCUAAAGAAGUGGUUCUUGGCCAUUAUCAACAAAUAGUGCAUUUUCCCCUUCGUCAGCUUAACAUGUUAAAGACAACAUCUGUAACUCAUUAUGAAUUGGAGUGGAAGGUUAAACUGGCUCAGGGUUAGUCACUGCCGUGCGUCCUAGACAUUCAGAGCUCCAGAGCAAAUGAGAGCAUAUGAACAAAUCCCUUUAAAGGCUGUGCAGAGCACAAGCAAGUGGAGGCUAGAAAUGUUUCAGUGGAGCUUGAGCAGGACUGGAUUUCAAGCUCCAAGGAAAUUCAAGAUACACCAGGCAAAUGGGGGAUGUGCACGUGAGGUGAGCUCACAUUUACUCAGAAGUCACAGGAAGUACCAGUCUUUUUUUUUUUUUUUUUUUUUUCCAAAACUGCAAGACUUCCAAGAUUUCAUUCCUUUCUGCAGGGAGGAUGCUAAGAUUACAGGGAGUUUCUUCAUUGAAGUGGUGUACCACAGCUGUAAAAAACUGAUGGUGCACAAGGGACAGAGUCCCUGGGGCUUCUGGAUCGAAUCAGUCCAAGCUAACACCACUUUGGGUACGUGACCACGCGCUCCUUUCUUGCUCCCAAGCUAGAGUGCAAAGUGGUAAAUCCUGCCACAUUUCAGAGCGUGAUAUUUCAAAUCAGGGGAAGGGGUAGAGUAACGUUGAAAAUAAAAAUCACAGCAUUUAGUUGGCCAUAUUAAGAAAUAACCCUUGGGUGAAACACAGAUCAAAUGUCGUUUAUCAGUCUGCGGGAGUUAGGGGUUAGUUCUGGUCUCAGUUAUCAUGCAGAGGUCUUGGCUGGGUGAGUCCUGGUUUAGUGCUGGUUGUCACACCUCACAGGCAGG